rnacentral:lncRNA from 1 species
GACUAGACCAUCUUCUGCUACAUUUGCAGCUAGAGACACAAGCUCUGGGGGUACUGGUUAAUUCAUUUGUUGUUCCACCUAUAGGGUUGCAGACCCCUCCAGCUCCUUGUGUACUUUCUCUAGCUCCUCCAUUAGGGGCCCUGUGUUCCAUCCAAUAGCUGACCGUGAGCAUCCACUUCUGUGUUUGCCAGGCACUGGCAUAACCUCACACGAGACAGUUAUAUCAGGGUCCUUUCAGCAAAAUCUUGCUGGCGUAUGCAAUAGUGUCUGCGUUUGGUAGCUGAUUAUGGGAUGGACCCCCGGGUGGGGCAGUCUCUGGAUGGUCCAUCCUUUCGUCUUAGCUCCAAACUUUGUCUCUGUAACUCUUUCCAUGGGUGUUUUGUUCCCAAGUCUAAGAAGGGGCGAAGUGUCCAUACUUUGGGCUUCAUUCUUCUUGAGUUUCAUAUGUUUUGCAAGUUGUAUCUUGGGUAUUCUAAGUUUCUGGGCUAAUAUCCACUUAUCAGUGAGUGCCUAUCUAGUGACUUCUUUUGUGAUUGGGUUACAUCACUAAGGAUGAUAUCCUCCAGAUUCAUCCAUUUGCCCAAGAAUUUCAUAAAUUCGUUGUUUUUAAUAGCUGAGUAGUACCCCAUUGUGUAAAUGUACCGCAUUUUCUGUAUCCAUUCCUCUAUUGAGGGACAUCUGGGUUCUUUCCAGCUUCUGGCUAUUAUAAAUAAGGCUGCUAUGAACAUAGUGGAACAUGUGUUCUUAUUACCAGUUGGAACAUCUUUUGGAUAUAUAGGGCAGACCUUUCUGCUUGAUGUCUAAGUCAGGUCCCUGUAGGCCUGGGUUCUGUGCUACUUGCUGCAGUGACAUCUGUGUCUCUACAUGGUAGAGGCAGAGAGAAGCAAGCUGUCUGGUACUCAGAGGGUACUAAUCCCAUCAUGGCAACGUUCUCUAGAUCCACUUACUUCUCAGGGCUAUAGUUCCUCAUACCAUUAUUGCUUUGAGAGUUGGUUUCAUUGUGUGAAUUUGGGCCCAGAGCUACUGGGCACUGUGUUGCCCUCUGAGUUCUGGUUUCCCUUGAGGGUCAUACGAGACAAGGUGCCUGUGUCCAUCUGAGGAAGGCAUGUCCUGCUGUAUUCCAGGAACUCCACAGGGUAUGGGUUGGUGUGGAGUAACUAAGAGAGGUGAUGGGAUUUUCUGAAGGUUACCUGCUAGUCAAGAUGUGAGGUCAGUGGCUGGUUUGCCUGGGUGUCUCUGUAUGGUGAGACUGACUAGGUGGGUGUUGGUGGAGUUGCAAGUUCUAUGUUUCUGUUGAGUGAUAUGAUUUGCUAGUUUAGGGUCAAGGUUCAAGAGACUAGUCCAUGCACACUGUGACUUAACCAGGUAGUGCUCUGAAGACUACUUAGUGGGGCCUGGGCCUGCCCUGUUCUUUGCCGACCUAGCUUCUGCCUGUAAGCUUAGGGUCAUGUCCCUUUCGGCUACCCAAGGGUACCAUGGUGCUCUCCAGUUCUUGGGUUCUCACUCCCUGUCCUCAUCUGUCAGGACAUGUGUAGUGAGAAUAUGUGUUUC